CUUUUCUGUCAUAAUGGCAAGUCAUCUCUGGGUAGCAGCACAUGGGAUCUUUAACAUUCAACAUGUAUCCAGAUACUGCAGAGUAUGGUGAGAGAUGCCAAAAGCAACUGCAAUUCAGAAUUAUCACGAUCUCACAUAAGGCUACGUGAAAAAGACCAACAGCAGGCAAACAAAGCCAAGUGCUUCCUGAGCUCUGCCAAGAAUUAAACACAGAGCUCCAUCAGCAGGAGGGCUUUCUUUGGUAACAAAAUCUGUCUCAGUCUGUACCUAAAAGGUUUUCUAAGGCUGCAGAUUAAAGUUUAAAGACCACUAGAAAAACCUCAAGACAGGGAGAGCUCCUAUAGGAAAAAUGCUGUAUAGAAUUUCCAGAAAUAAAAAGGUAAUAAUUACUCCUAGUAACAACAGUAA